rfam:Mus musculus chromosome 2, GRC primary reference assembly.
UGGUGCCCAACGUCUGGGGCUCAAGUACAAGAGAUUCAGUAAAGAACACUGCAGUGUUUUGUCUUGCCAUAUUUUUUUGGAAGACACCUUGCCUGGGAACCUGACACCUUGACUAAGGAUCCUGGUAAGUUUGCGGUGAUUAUGGGACAGGCAUUGAGUAGCCAUGAAUUAUUUGUAGAAGGUUUUAAAAAAGGCUCUGAAGAAGCGAGGAAUAAAGGUCAAAAUAUAUGAUUUGCUUACAUUUUUUGAUUUUGUUAAAGAGAUUUGCUCAU